CGAACGCUGGCGGCGUGCUUAACACAUGCAAGUCAACGGGGCGAAGUGAUAGCUUGCUAUUAUGGAGCCUAGUGGCAAACGGGUGAGUAACGCGUAGGCAACCUGCCCUUCAGAUGGGGACAACACCUCGAAAGGGGUGCUAAUACCGAAUGACGUUUCCUAGUCGCAUGACCUGGAAACCAAAGGCCGGGCAACCGGUCACUGAAGGAUGGGCCUGCGUCUGAUUAGCUAGUUGGUGGGGUAACGGCCCACCAAGGCGACGAUCAGUAGCCGGUCUGAGAGGAUGAACGGCCACAUUGGGACUGAGACACGGCCCAAACUCCUACGGGAGGCAGCAGUGGGGAAUCUUCCGCAAUGGGCGCAAGCCUGACGGAGCAACGCCGCGUGAGUGAAGAAGGUUUUCGGAUCGUAAAGCUCUGUUGAGAGGGACGAGAGAUAUAAUCAGGAAAUGGGUUAUAGAGGACGGUACCUUUCGAGGAAGCCACGGCUAACUACGUG
rnacentral:rRNA from 1 species